rnacentral:lncRNA from 1 species
UUGAGCCCAGGAAAUCUGGAUUCAGAGUCUAUGCCACUGAUAGUGUUUUUUUCUUAACACGUGAAAUUUCUUUCUUUCUUCUUUUUUUUUUUUUUUUUUACUUUAACAAGUAUUUUCUUUCAGCUGUUCUCAGCCAAAGUCAUGGGAGAUCCCUUUCUCAUGGAGGAAAUAGGUCUGCUUGCACUCAAGUCUGCAGCAGGUGAAGGACAGAACCAAAGCCAAGAUUCUCACAUGCUUCUCCUGGAGACCUUUUCCAAACUUCUGGAACUCGUGACCCUCCGCCACCGGCUGAUAGAAAUGAGUCUGGAGAGUGUACAUUUAGCUCGUCUCUAUAAGGAACUGGCAUGGGAGAUGGGUUUUGAAGAGUACCAUUUGUAUCUGAGGCCUGUUCACUUUGAAUUUGCAUCACAUAAGGACAACGUGGACCAUCCACCUCCUGUUUUUAUCACCUCUCUGCUGGAGGACAGUGAUCGAGUGGACAGGUGAGCCUUGAGAAGGUCCAAGUAAAAAUAAU